GACGAACCGUCCGAACGUUAUUCGGAAUCACUGGGCUUAAAGGGUGCGUAGGCGGCGCGGCAAGUUGGGUGUGAAAUCCCUCGGCUCAACCGAGGAACUGCGCCCAAAACUACCGUGCUCGAGGGAGAUAGAGGUGAGCGGAACUUAGGGUGGAGCGGUGAAAUGCGUUGAUAUCCUAAGGAACACCGGUGGCGAAAGCGGCUCACUGGAUCUUUUCUGACGCUGAGGCACGAAAGCUAGGGUAGCGAACGGG
rnacentral:rRNA from 1 species